rnacentral:rRNA from 1 species
UACGAAGGGGGCUAGCGUUGUUCGGAUUUACUGGGCGUAAAGCGCACGUAGGCGGUUUGUUAAGUUAGAGGUGAAAUCCCAAGGCUCAACCUUGGAAUUGCCUUUAAGACUGAUGAACUAGAGUUCGAGAGAGGGCAGUAGAAUUCCCAGUGUAGAGGUGAAAUUCGUAGAUAUUGGGAGGAAUACCGGUGGCGCCAGCGGCUUCCUUGCUCGAUACUGACGCUGAGGUGCGAAAGCGUGGUUAGCAAACAGG